UACGUAGGUCCCGAGCGUUGUCCGGAUUUAUUGGGCGUAAAGCGAGCGCAGGUGGUUUAUUAAGUCUGGUGUAAAAGGCAGUGGCUCAACCAUUGUAUGCAUUGAAAACUGGUAGACUUGAGUGCAGGAGAGGAGAGUGGAAUUCCAUGUGUAGCGGUGAAAUGCGUAGAUAUAUGGAGGAACACCGGUGACGAAAGCGGCUCUCUGGCCUGUAACUGACACUGAGGCUCGAAAGCGUGGGGAGCAAACAGG
rnacentral:rRNA from 1 species